GAGAUGUUGGGUUAAGUCCCGCAACGAGCGCAACCCUUGUCUUUAGUUGCUACAUUCAGUUGAGCACUCUAAUGAGACAGCCGGUGACAAACCGGAGGAAGGUGGGGAUGACGUCAAGUCCUCAUGGCCCUUAUAGGUGGGGCUACACACGUCAUACAAUGGCUGGUACAGAGGGUUGCCAACCCGCGAGGGGGAGCUAAUCCCAUAAAACCCGUCGUAGUCCGGAUCGCAGUCUGCAACUCGACUGCGUGAAGUUGGAAUCGCUAGUAAUCGCGGAUCAGCAUGCCGCGGUGAAUACGUUCCCGGGUCUUGUACACACCGCCCGUCACACCAUGGGAGCGGGUCUCGCCAGAAGUAGGUAGCCUAACCGCAAGGAGGGCGCU
rnacentral:rRNA from 1 species